rnacentral:piRNA from 1 species
UGACAACACACCUAAAAGCU